GGAAAAUUAUCCCUGAAUGUAUCGAAUAUAUGGCAAUUGUCGUUGACCUUGAUGGUCUUUGAAAACAUGUUUGUGUAUCAGGGAUCGUUUUGUACUUUAAAAAGAGAUAGGAUUGAGGUGGAUGUGGACCUGCUUCAUAUAGUCUUAAAACAAAGCAUGUUCCCUUGACAUCUCCAGGCCAUGUGGAACCUGAUAGAUUGUGAAGGUCUGCAGCUGUGUUGGUUACUCCAGGGAAGUAACAUUCAAGUAAAGAAAAUGUUACUUCCAAAAGAAAUCUUUACUGAGAGUGGUCAGAGAGAGACUUCACAAGAACAAGCAACUAAAUUCCCAUCUUGUGGUUGAGGUAUAACCAUGCAUCGGAAGCAGUCUGCCUCUACUACAGAAAAGAAAUAAAUUGCCACAGCCACCCCACCUUUAAGCAACCACCACCCUGAUCAGUCAGCAGUCAUCAAUGAGACAAGAAACUGCACCAUCGAAAAGAUUACAAGUUGCUGUAGGCUCAGAAAAUUGGUAGCAUUUUUAGCAAUAAAAUGUUGCUUUAUGGCA
rnacentral:lncRNA from 13 species